UUUCCGUAGGUGAACCUGCGGAAGGAUCAUUAAUGAGUUGUCAUGGGGUUCGAUGCUGGCAGCCAGUCUUUGGAUGCAUGUGCUUGCCCUAACAAUCAUCUUCUUCCAAACACCUGUGCACAUUUUUGAGGGAGUCUUGAGUUGGUUGCCGCUCUUGGGUGAUUUUCUCACAUUCCCUUAAAUCAUUAUACGCUAUUAACAAUGUUGAACGUGCUCUGUGCCGCAAGGCCAUUAAUAUAAUACAACUUUUAACAACGGAUCUCUUGGCUCUC
rnacentral:misc_RNA from 1 species